AGACCCGGGGUGCUGGCAUAAAGCCGGCUGAGAGAGGCAAUUGCCUUAACCCGCAUAACCUGAUACGGAUAAUACCGGCGAAGGGAGUGUA
rnacentral:ncRNA from 1 species